GUGAUUUGGCGGCUCCGACUGGCGCGGGACAAACGCCACGGCCAGAGUACCGGGUAGAGAGCGGGGACGCCGACCUGCGUGCGUCGGUCCUCCAGGCCACGCCAGCGCCCGAGAGGGACCAGGGAGACUCCGGCCCCUGUCGGCCGCCAAGCCCCUCCGCCCCUCACAGCGCCCAGGUCCGCGGCCGGGCCUUGAUUUUUUGGCGGGGACCGUCAUGGCGUCGCAGCCAAAUUCGUCUGCGAAGAAGAAAGAGGAGAAG
rnacentral:lncRNA from 1 species